AGAUUGCAGGUUGGAGUCUGUGUGGAAGGCGGUGUCCAAGUCCCUUGGAACAGGGCGCCCAGGAGGGUGAGAGCCCCGUGGGAUGCCGGCGGAAGCAGUGAGGCCCUUCUGACGAGUCGAGUUGUUUGGGAAUGCAGCUCCAAGCGGGUGGUAAAUUCCAUCUAAGGCUAAAUACUGGCGAGAGACCGAUAGCGAACAAGUACUGUGAAGGAAAGAUGAAAAGCACUUUGAAAAGAGAGUGAAACAGCACGUGAAAUUGUUGAAAGGGAAGGGUAUUGCGCCCGACAUGGGGAUUGCGCACCGCUGCCUCUCGUGGGCGGCGCUCUGGGCUUUCCCUGGGCCAGCAUCGGUUCUUGCUGCAGGAGAAGGGGUUCUGGAACGUGGCUCUUCGGAGUGUUAUAGCCAGGGCCAGAUGCUGCGUGCGGGGACCGAGGACUGCGGCACU
rnacentral:rRNA from 1 species